UCUCUUCCGACUCGGGCUGACGUAAAAGGGGAUUUCGGAGACGACCGAUCGGAGGAGGCGAUGGCGGAGGAGAAGGGGAAGACGGGGAGAGACGAACUCGCACAGUCGUUAGAGGAUGUCUUCAUUAACGUCUCCACCAUGAUCAAGGGCGAGCUUCAGGGUACAAAUAAUCAACUCUUGCUUCUGGAGACAAUGAACCAGAGAGUAGCUGAGGAAUACAAUGGCUACGGAGAUGUUGCAUCCGGUUUAAGACUCUUGAGUACGCCCAGCAAAUUGAGAAGAUAGACCAGCAGGUUACCGAGUUUGAGGCUGUUGUAUCGAAUAUCGAUGCUUGAUAAAUAUGUUUCUUUGUUGGAAAACAAACUGCAAUCUGCAUUACUUCAUGAUAUAAAGAAACUACAAUCUGCAUCUCUUCAUGAUAUGCCUACUUGAGACUUGGAUUUGCAAAUUUAAGCAUUUGUUUUGUAAUUUGGGUUGUCUGAGUCUUGAUUGACAAAGGUACACUGAGUACUAUUGUUUGUGUUCA